CACACACACACGACCACCACCAGUUGCUAGUACACAUGGUAUAGGCUUCAGUACAUUUCAUUCGAGAUACCAACAGAAAAGGAAGAGGGAAUGCUUAUUUGAGGAAAUGACGAGUUACACCUGCUUGUUGUGUUUUUUUAAGAAAAUGUAUUCUUGUUGGUCAUCUACCCGCUACUGUGUGCACCCUAUUAAAAAGUCAGAAACCUGAAAAGACUCCAGACAAAGACUAGGAGAAAGAAGCAGCGGAUGCCUGGGAAACGAGGCUGCUGCGCUGAACUCACGCUGGCCGUUGAGCAGCCACUGUCUGCUGCAUACUGAUGUGUGGCGACGAGACUGGGCUUCCACAGACCAGGACAAGCGACACCUCAUUUGUGUACACAGGUGCAGACCAGACUCACUUCUCCUUGGCAUGGAGGAUACCAGUCUUGCACACAUUUCUGGAAAGAUGUUCUGUCAUUCUUCAGAGAUUUCUGUGUCAGUGAUCAGAGGUGUGUUCAGUGUUCGAGUUUCUACUUUGAGGCCUGUAUUUUCAGGUAAGUCUUUCUAAAGUAUUUGUUUUUGAUUGUUCC
ensembl:lncRNA